rnacentral:rRNA from 1 species
GCACGUAGUUAGCCGUUGCUUAUGCCUCGAGUACCGUCGGGUGUCUUCCUCGAGAAAGGCGGUUUACGACCCGAAGGCCUUCAUCCCGCACGCGGCGUGGCUGCGUCAGGGUUUCCCCCAUUGCGCAAAAUUCCUAACUGCUGCCUCCCGUAGGAGUCUGGGCCGUGUCUCAGUCCCAGUCUGGCUGGCCAUCCUCUCAGACCAGCUACGGAUCGAAGCCUUGGUGGGCCAUUACCUCACCAACUAGCUAAUCCGCCGCAGGCCCCUCCCAAAGCGUCUUGCGACUUUGAGCACCGAAACGAGUCGGUGGUCACAUGCGGUAUUAGCGACUCUUUCGAGUCGUUAUCCCCCACUUCGGGGCAGGUCACCUACGUGUUACUCAGCCGUUCGCCACUAGCCUUUCCCCUUGCGGGGAUUGGCUCGUCCGACUUGCAUGUUUUAUGCACGCCGCCAGCGUUUGUC